ensembl:lncRNA
GGUGGCGGGGCUUUAAAGGGGCGGGGCCAGAGGAGGGCGGGACAGGAAGGGGCGGGGCUUCAAAUGGCAGUAAACAGGCCCUGAUGGGUAGCCAUGACCGGAAGUGGGCCUGUCCUAAUGGACACUCGGGACCCGGAAGUGGGUGUGGCCACAGGUGGAGGUGGAUGAGGGGGGUGUGGCUGGAAGUGGGCGUGACCGGAAAUGGGCGGGGCCGGAAAUGGGCAGUCAGAACCGGAAGUGGGUGUGGUCUCAGCACAGUCAUUAUUCCAAACAAGAAUGAGACUGGAAGAGGAGGAGGAAGAGGGGGGUGUAGCCGGAAAUGGGCAUGGCCGGAAAUGAGCAAUCAGGACUGGAACUGGGCGUGGUCUGAAUGUGGGAGGCGUAGCAGGAAGUGGGCGUGGCCUCAGCACAUCCAUUAUUCCAAACAGGAACGAGACUGAUGGGGGAAGGUGGGCGUGGCCGGAAGUGGGCGUGACCAGAAAUGGGCGGGGCCGGAAGUGGGCUGUCAGGGGUCGGAAGUGGGCGUGGUCUCAGGGGGGAGGCAUGACAGGAAGUGGGCGUGGCUUCAGCAAACCCAUUAUUCCAAACAAGAACGAGACUGGUGGCGGAAGGUGGGGGGUGGGGCGUGGCCGGAAGUGGGUGUGACGAGAAAUGGGCGGGGCCGGAAAUGGCAGUCAGGCCCGGAAGUGGGCGUGGUCUGAAAGUGGGAGGCAUGGCAGGAAGUGGGUGUGGCCUGAGCACAUCCGUUAUUCCAAAGAAGAAUGAGACUGGUGGGGGAGGGUGGGUGGGGCUGGAAAUGGGCGGGGCCGGAAAUGGGCGUGUCCACACAGGCAGGCGGGACCGGAAAUGGGCGUGGUCUCGGGGGGGAGGGGAGGAGUCGUGGCAGGAAGUGGGCGCAGCCUCAGCACAUCCGUUAUUCCAAACAAGAACGGGAUCGAUGGGGGAGAAAGUGGGGGGGAAGGGAGGGUGGGCGUGGCCGGAAGUGGGCGUGUCCUAUCGGCCCACCAGACCCGGAAGUGGGCGUGGCCUCAGCCCAGCCUUCCUAUGGGUUACAUAGAAUGAGAAUUAGGGAGAGCGGGUGNNNNNNNNNNNNNNNNNNNNNNNNNNNNNNNNNNNNNNNNNNNNNNNNNNNNNNNNNNNNNNNNNNNNNNNNNNNNNNNNNNNNNNNNNNNNNNNNNNNNNNNNNNNNNNNNGGAAGUGGGCGUGUCCAUGAAGUGGGUGUGGCCGGAAGUGGGCGUGGCCGGAAGUGGGCGUGGCCUCACCCGUGCCCCCCGCGGGCGGCGAACAUCUCGUGGAAGGGGAACUGGCGGUGCAAAUCCUUCUCAAUGGCGUCCAGCCAGCGAGCGUCGCCGGGCUGCCGCUCCAGCUCCUGCAAUGGGGCGGGAAGUGGGCAGACAUUGGGGGGGCGUGGGGGGACACUGACACCCAUGGGGACCCAUAGGGACCCGCUGAGACCCAUAGAGACCCACUGAGAGCCAUAGGGACCCAUUGGGACCCGUUGAGACCCAUAGACACCAACUGAGACCCACAGAGACCCACUGAGACCCAUAGGGACCUAUAGAGACCCUCUAAGACCCAUAGGGACCCACUGAGACCCAUAGGGACCCCAUAGGAACCUAUAGGAACACACUGAGACCCACUGAGAUCCACAGGAACCCAUAGGGACCCACUGAGACCCAUAGGGACCUAUAGAGACCCACUGAGACCCACUGGGACCCAUAGGCACCCACUGAGACCCAUAGGGACCUAUAGAGACCUACUGAGACCCACUGGGACCCAUAGGCACCCGCUGAGACCCAUAGAGACCAACUGAGAGCCAUAGAGACCCACUGAGAGCCAUAGGGACCCAUAGAAACCCAUAGGGACCCGUUGAGACCCAUAGGGACCUAUAGAGACCCACUGAGACCCACUGGGACCCAUAGGCACCCGCGGAGACCCCACAGGGACCCAUAACAACCCACAGGGACCCACAGGGACCCAUACAAACCCAUAGGGACCCGCUGAGACCCAUAGGGACGCAUAGGGACCCAUAGAAACCCAUAGGGACCCGCUGAGACCUAUAGGGACCUAUAGAGACCCACUGAGACCCACUGGGACCCAUAGGGACCUAUAGAGACCCAUAAAGACCAACUGAGACCCACUGAGACCCACUGAGACCCAUAGGGACCCACUGAGAGCCAUAGGGACCCAUAGGGACCCACCGAGACCCCAUAGGGACCCAUAGCAACCCCCAGGGAACCAUAGCAACCCAUAGGGAUCCAUAGCAACCCCCAGGGAAACAUAGGGACCCACCGAGACCCCAUAGGGACCCACCAAGACCCCAUAGCGACCCAUAGCAACCCCCAGAGACCCAUAGCAACCCAUAGGGACCCCCAGGGACCCAUAGCAACCCAUAGCGACCCAUAGGGACCCACCGAGACCCCAUAGGGACCCACUGAGACCCCAUAGGGACCCAUAGCAAAUCCCAGGGAC